AAUUUGCAAAAUCCAAGCUUCUAUAGCUAGGGGAUUAGGUCCAUCGUCAAAGGAGGGAGGGUUCAGUCUUCUAAACUUAUAAAUGUUUUUUGAGAUGGUUCUUUUCCCAUGAUGGAAGUCAUGGGCAGGAGGUGGUUGAUUAUGGUUUUGACCAAUAACAUUGGUCAAACCCUAGAUGGCACUAAAUAAUUCGGUAAACUUGGCCCAAAUCAGAAUGUCCUAGGCCUUCGGGUGCUCAACAGAUGUUCUCCCUCGAGUCAUAGUACUAUAAAAAGGAGAUAAUAAACUUGAUGACUAAUCAAAAAAGGUGAGUUCUAACUUUAAGAAUUUAU
rnacentral:lncRNA from 1 species